rnacentral:rRNA from 1 species
AUUGAACGCUGGCGGCAGGCUUAACACAUGCAAGUCGAGCGGGGUAGGUUGCUUCGGUAACUGACCUAGCGGCGGACGGGUGAGUAAUGCUUAGGAAUCUGCCUAUUAGUGGGGGACAACAUUCCGAAAGGGAUGCUAAUACCGCAUACGCCCUACGGGGGAAAGCAGGGGAUCUUCGGACCUUGCGCUAAUAGAUGAGCCUAAGUCGGAUUAGCUAGGUGGUGGGGUAAAGGCCUACCAAGGCGACGAUCUGUAGCGGGUCUGAGAGGAUGAUCCGCCACACUGGGACUGAGACACGGCCCAGACUCCUACGGGAGGCAGCAGUGGGGAAUAUUGGACAAUGGGCGGAAGCCUGAUCCAGCCAUGCCGCGUGUGUGAAGAAGGCCUUUUGGUUGUAAAGCACUUUAAGCGAGGAGGAGGCUCUUAAGGUUAAUACCCUUGAUGAGUGGACGUUACUCGCAGAAUAAGCACCGGCUAACUCUGUGCCAGCCGCCGCCGUAAGAC